CAUAACCGGGGUUCUGGUUGCAAAUCUGUCUACGGAGGAAGUAAAAUUUAACGCGGAUUUGACAAUCGGAUUCCUCCGUGCAAUACGAGAGGUUCCGUCAAUGGAUACGGGGGUAUUGCAUCGGUAGCGGCCACGUCGGUAGAGAAAGGGCGCUUACCCACCCAUUUAACGCAGUUGCUCGAUGGCGUGUCAUCGAAAUUAUCUGCUAGGGGACUGCGAGAUUUUAGGACACUUCUAAUCGAAUUUCAACAUGUAUUUGAUGCUUAGAUUUUCUCGGGGGUUCGAAAUGGUUUAGCACACUGGACUUGGAAUGUGGUUAUUGGCAAGUAAAGCUCGAUCCGAACGCCAAGGAGAAAACUGCGUUCUCAAUACCUGGCCACGGGCUGUAUCAAUUUCGGGUACUGCCGUUUGGAUUAUGCAAUGCGCCCGCAACUUUUGAACGGUGGAGCAAGUGCUAAGAACGGUGAUUCACAAGUGCUGCUUAGUAUACCUAGAUGAUGUCGUUGUUUUCGGACAAGGCGUCUCCAGCCACCUUAAUAACCUUCGUUCUGUUUUCCAGUGUAUCGAGAGAGCUGGUCUGCGGUUAAAAGCUAAGAAGUGUAAAUUGUUACAAGAAGAGACCAUAUAUCUAGGUCACGUCAUUUCGCGAGAUGGAGCUUCGUGUGAUCCGAAGAAGUUGAGCGUUGUUAAGGAGUGGCCGGUUCCAGUUCAAAAUACUAGCGAUAUACUAAGUCUAAAGCGUUCUAAAUCAAUUAUUUGUAGAUCCGAAGAAGUUGAGCGUUGUUAAGGAGUGGCCGGUUCCAGUUCAAAAUACUAGCGAUAUACUAAGUCUAAAGCGUUCUAAAUCAAUUACAGUUCAAAAUACUAGCGAUAUACUAAGUCUAAAGCGUUCUAAAUCAAUUAUUUGUAGAUCCGAAGAAGUUGAGCGUUGUUAAGGAGUGGCCGGUUCCAGUUCAAAAUACUAGCGAUAUACUAAGUCUAAAGCGUUCUAAAUCAAUUAUUUGUAAAGUUUAAUAGUAUCUUAAGUUAAUUCGUUUGUUUUCCUUCAAUAACAUUUUCCUUUUUUAUUGAAUAAACUCAAAGCCCUUUGACAGUCGUGACCGGUAUACCACAUGGAGAACAAUCAAGGUAAGCUUUGUUCAUACUGUUUAACAUUUUUUUAUUACUGUUGUUCGUGUCUGGUUUUAUAAGCUGAGCUUUGUUCUAGUAUAUUAAACCAUAUUAGUAUCAGAUGGUUGCGACUUGACUUCUCCGGUUCCCAAUAUUCACCGUGUAUGCCCAAGGACGAGCAAAGGCGAAAGCAAUAAUGGGUUGUCAAAAUUAGAAGGGACGUUGGCCCAAAUUUUAAGAUAACAUCCAAGACAAGAGUGUGUAGCAAACAUUUUAAGGAAGAAGAUUUCCGUCCUCCCGAUAAUUCUGGGAGACGACUUCUAAAAGAAGGAACAUUGCCCUCUGUAUUUGAUUGGACAGCAACCACAAAAAUACAAGGCGGAAAGUUUUAAGGCAUGAUGAUGUUUGUGAAAGUGGGACACAAACAGAUGAAAGUGAUAUUGAAGCGGAUGAUGCUUCAAACCAACCCCCAAAAUCAAUUUGGCCAACUAGGGCUAAGAUGCCAGCUGAAUUUAAAAGCCUUUACCCCACCACUUGUGUAAUCCUCGAUUGCACCGAAAUAUUUUGUUGUUCCUUUUGCAAUCACAGCUCUACUCUUCUUAUAAGAGUAGCACCACACUAAAUAGAUUGGUAGGCAUUGCACCCACAUGGUGUGCAAUAACAUUUGUAUCAUCCAUGUUUACAGGAUCAAUUUCAGAUAGAGAAAUUACAAGAUGUUUAGGUAUACUUGAUUUGUUGGAGAAUGAGGAUUUUGUGAUGGCAGAUAAGGGUUUUGAUAUAGAGGAUAUGUUUGAGGAAUGGGGGGGGGGGGGGUCGGCCUU